rnacentral:rRNA from 1 species
UACGGAGGGAGCUAGCGUUGUUCGGAAUUAUUGGGCGUAAAGCGCACGCAGGCGGAUUGAUUAGUCGGGGGUGAAAUCCCGGGGCUCAACCUCGGAAUUGCCUUCGAUACUGUCAGUCUUGAGUCCGGGAGAGGUGAGUGGAAUUCCUAGUGUAGAGGUGAAAUUCGUAGAUAUUAGGAAGAACACCAGUGGCGAAGGCGGCUCACUGGCCCGGUACUGACGCUCAUGUGCGAAAGCGUGGGGAGCAAACAGG